rnacentral:rRNA from 1 species
GAUGAACGCUGGCGGCGUGCCUAACACAUGCAAGUCGAGCGAUGAAGUUUUCUUCGGAAAACGGAUUAGCGGCGGACGGGUGAGUAACACGUGGGCAACCUGCCUUAUAGAGGGGAAUAGCCUUCCGAAAGGAAGAUUAAUACCGCAUAAUAUUAUCGGAUGGCAUCAUCUGAUAAUCAAAGGAGCAAUCCGCUAUA